AGCCAACGGCGAGUGAAGCGGCAACAGCUCAAAUUUGAAAUCUGGCGUCUUUGGCGUCCGAGUUGUAAUUUGCAGAGGGCGCUUUGGCAUUGGCAGCGGUCCAAGUUCCUUGGAACAGGACGUCACAGAGGGUGAGAAUCCCGUACGUGGUCGCUAGCCUUUACCGUGUAAAGCCCCUUCGACGAGUCGAGUUGUUUGGGAAUGCAGCUCUAAAUGGGAGGUAAAUUUCUUCUAAAGCUAAAUACUGGCCAGAGACCGAUAGCGCACAAGUAGAGUGAUCGAAAGAUGAAAAGCACUUUGGAAAGAGAGUUAAAAAGCACGUGAAAUUGUUGAAAGGGAAGCGCUUGCAGCCAGACUUGCCUGUAGUUGCUCAUCCGGGUUUCUACCCGGUGCACUCUUCUAUAGGCAGGCCAGCAUCAGUUUGGGCGGUUGGAUAAAGGUCUCUGUCAUGUACCUCCUCUCGGGGAGAACUUAUAGGGGAGACGACAUGCAACCAGCCCGGACUGAGGUCCGCGCAUCUGCUAGGAUGCUGGCGUAAUGGCUGUAAGCGGCCCGUCUUGAAACACGGACCAAGGAGUCUAACAUCUAUGCGAGUGUUUGGGUGUCAAGCCCGAGCGCGUAAUGAAAGUGAACGGAGGUGGGAACCUUUCGGGGUGCACCAUCGACCGAUCCUGAUGUCUUCGGAUGGAUUUGAGUAAGAGCAUAGCUGUUGGGACCCGAAAGAUGGUGAACUAUGCUUGAAUAGGGUGAAGCCAGAGGAAACUCUGGUGGAGGCUCGCAGCGGUUCUGACGUGCAAAUCGAUCGUCAAA
rnacentral:rRNA from 1 species